ensembl:snRNA U6 U6 spliceosomal RNA
CUACUUGCUUCAGCAGUACAUAUACUAAUAGUGGAACGAUACAGAGAAGAUUAACACGGCCCCUGUGCAAGGAUAACACACAAAUUCAUGAAGUGUGCCCUAUGGGA